rnacentral:rRNA from 1 species
UACGUAGGAGGCGAGCGUUGUCCGGAGUUACUGGGCGUAAAGGGUGCGCAGGCGGUGGCCCGCGUGGGCGGUGAAAGCUCCUGGCUCAACUGGGAGAGGGCCGUCCAGACGGGGUCACUUGAGGGGCGGAGAGGGGCGUGGAAUUCCGGGUGGAGCGGUGAAAUGCGUAGAUAUCAGGAGGAACACCGGUGGUGUAGACGGCUUUCUGGACCGUAACUGACGCUGAGACACGAAAGCGUGGGUAGCAAACAGG